AGGAUCAUUAUUGAAAUAAAACUCAGGCAGGGGGGGAGUGUGGUUGUAGCUGGCCCCCYUUAUAAGGGCAUGUGCACACUGUCUCUUUCUCUUGCUUGUUUUUUCAUUUUUUCCACUUGUGCACUGCUUGUAGGCAGCCUGGCAUUGUUCGGGUUGUCUAUGAUUUUAUUUUACAUACAUGAAUCAUUGUUGUACAGAAUGUGAUAACAAAGAAUAAUACAACUUUCAACAACGGAUCUCUUGGCUCUCGCAUCGAUGAAGAACGCAGCGAAAUGCGAUAAGUAAUGUGAAUUGCAGAAUUCAGUGAAUCAUCGAAUCUUUGAACGCAUCUUGCGCUCCUUGGUAUUCCGAGGAGCAUGCCUGUUUGAGUGUCAUUAAAUUCUGUCAAAACAUGCAUUUGAGUGUGUUUUGGAUUGUGGGAGUGUUUGCUGGCUUUAUAUGAGUCAGCUCUCCUGAAAGACAUUAGCUUUGGAGGGAUGUGCCAAGUCACUUCUGUCUUUCCAUUGGUGUGAUAGAUGAAUAAAACUUAUCUACGCCAGGAAAGCAGGUUGCAGGUGAUGCACUGUGAUCUCUCUGCUCUCUAAUUGACAUUUGUCUGAUAACUUGACCUCAAAUCAGGUAGGACUACCCGCUGAACUUAAGCAUAUCAAUAAGCGGAGGAAAAGAAACUAACAAGGAUUCCCCUAGUAACUGCGAGUGAAGAGGGAAGAGCUCAAAUUUGAAAUCUGGCAGUGUU
rnacentral:rRNA from 1 species